rnacentral:misc_RNA from 1 species
GAUGAAGAACGUAGCGAAAUGCGAUAAGUAAUGUGAAUUGCAGAAUUCAGUGAAUCAUCGAAUCUUUAAACGCACAUUGCGCCCCCUGGUAUUCCGGGGGGCAUGCCUGUCCGAGCGUCAUUACAACCCUCAAGCUCAGCUUGGUGUUGGGCCCCGCCGCCCCGGCGGGCCCUAAAGUCAGUGGCGGUGCCGUCCGGCUCCGAGCGUAGUAAUUCUUCUCGCUCUGGAGGUCCGGUCGUGUGCUCGCCAGCAACCCCCAAUUUUUUUCAGGUUGACCUCGGAUCAGGUAGGGAUACCCGCUGAACUUAAGCAUAUCAAUAAGCGGAGGA